CUGAUCCAACGAAGCGGGAGCUGCAUUCCAGUCGUCACUGUCAUGUCUUGGACUGAAGGGGCCUCUUCAUGCAUCCAUCUUCAUUAUUACCUUCUAACUUUACCUCACCAUUCUAAAAUUCUAUGUUUACUAGUUAAUUGCUGAAUGCUAAUUUUUCUUAUAUAGUACUAUGUCUGUUUGAAUAGUUUCUUAAUUUUCAUAUGAAAUUUUUUAGCCUAUGAUAGUAAUUAGUAUACCUAAAACUAAACUAUACAUUUAUUUAUUUAUUUAUUUUUUUGGUUUCUUUCGUUUAUAUGCAUAAGUAUAGCUCAUUUCAUACUUAGAGAAGAUUAUUAGUUGCUUAAUUGUACUUGUGCUGUGAAAAGUAUGUUCAUAUGUUUCAUUUCCCUACAAUAAAUUUGUUAUCAUAGACUAAUUUGCAGGGCAUGCACAUUUUGUAGAUUAAUACUAUCACCAAAAUUUAUCAUACUUUUUG
rnacentral:lncRNA from 1 species